rnacentral:rRNA from 1 species
UUAAAUUGAAGAGUUUGAUCAUGGCUCAGAUUGAACGCUGGCGGCAGGCCUAACACAUGCAAGUCGAACGGUAACAGGAAGCAGCUUGCUGCUUUGCUGACGAGUGGCGGACGGGUGAGUAAUGUCUGGGAAACUGCCUGAUGGAGGGGGAUAACUACUGGAAACGGUGGCUAAUACCGCAUAACGUCGCAAGACCAAAGAGGGGGACCUUCGGGCCUCUUGCCAUCAGAUGUGCCCAGAUGGGAUUAGCUUGUUGGUGAGGUAACGGCUCACCAAGGCGACGAUCCCUAGCUGGUCUGAGAGGAUGACCAGCCACACUGGAACUGAGACACGGUCCAGACUCCUACGGGAGGCAGCAGUGGGGAAUAUUGCACAAUGGGCGCAAGCCUGAUGCAGCCAUGCCGCGUGUAUGAAGAAGGCCUUCGGGUUGUAAAGUACUUUCAGCGGGGAGGAAGGUGUUGUGGUUAAUAACCGCAG